rnacentral:lncRNA from 1 species
UAAAUAUGAUAGAUAAACAAGUAGAAAAGAAUAUAGUAAUACAUAAUACUCUCUUCAUAUGUAAUGCUCUCCUUAAGCGUAAAUCAAAUUGUUUAAACUGGAUAUGAUGAUUAAAUGUUGUAUCGGCGUGGUUUUAUCUGACUACUUUGCUUUUUCAAUUUGGUUGCCAGCUUCAACCUAAUUCUUGAUUUAGAACUAUGAUUUUGAACUAAAACAUUUCCGUGUUGAAUAAAAUACUAUUUAUUCUUAACUGUAUUUUUUUUGAGGCUUCAGUUAUCAAACGUUGGUGGUAAUUUUAGUUAUGCCACUGUAAAAGCGUCGAUUGUUAAGUAGACAUAAAAAGUUUGAAGUAUGCACAAAGCCUGAAAGUGUCAAAUAUGGAACCUAAAAAACCUGCCUUUGCCACUGACUGUAUAAAGUGUUUUUAAGGUCUGUUUGUCAAGCAUCAAGUCAGGUUAUCUUGCUACUGGUACCAUGUAGUACAUCCUGCUUAAGCAGGUUGUACGCCAUCCAUACGACGUUUGGGCAUCUGUUUGUAAAAUAUUGCUGCAAAUCUUUUUGAGAGAGCCAUUACUAUGGAGAACCAUCUAAACCAUACAAGUGUGGAAACAUGGAUGUAAAUCUAUGUAAACGCAUUUGUGAUAUAUAAUUGUAGAAUGUUAUAUGUUAUAAGUUUGGAAAUUAUAUUCUGCUAAAAAAACUUUUUAAAUGUAUUUUAGCAGAACAUACCUGGCCCACAUUUGAUCUUUCUUUUUGGACCAAAUGCUGGCUGGGUAGUUUGGACUUGUAAAUGAACUUAUAUUCAUAAUUUUUAAACUGCUUAUGAUCUGAUCUG